CCGCCCCCUUUGCACACACACACACACAGCGCACCCGUAAGCACGCACGCCUGGUGGAGCCGUUCUGCCUGCGACCGCUUCUGCAAAACUGAAAGCAUGGCUCUGUCGGAAGCGACGGCUGCCCGGGGGCUCCUUCUGCUGCCUCGGAUCGUGCUUUUCGGAGACUCCAUUACUGAGUUUUCCUUCCAAGAUAAGGGAUGGGGCGCAUCACUUGCUAAUAGAUUAGCUAGAAAAUGCGAUGUCUUGAAUCGUGGACUCUCUGGCUACAACACCAGGUGGGCUAAAAUGGUUCUUCCACGAUUAAUCAACAAAGACCAUAAUGCUGGAAACACCCUGGCGGUAACUGUCUUCUUCGGGGCAAAUGACAGCGCUUUGAAAGAUGAAAACCCCAGACAGCACGUUCCACUGGAGGAAUAUGCUGACAAUUUGAAAAGUAUGAUAUGCUACCUCAACUCUGUGGACAUUUCCAAACAGGACAUUAUAUUAGUGACUCCACCACCCCUUCAUGAAGCUAGUUGGGAAAAAGAGUGUGUGGCUAAAGGUGAAAAAUUAAAUCGGCUAAAUUCUGUCACUGGGGAAUAUGCAAAGGCUUGUGUUAAAGUAGCUGAAGAAUCUGGCACUGAUGUCAUCGACCUGUGGACACUUAUGCAAAAAGGAGACCAGGACUUCAACUGUUACCUGUCAGAUGGACUCCAUUUAUCAGAAAAAGGAAAUGCUUUUCUAGCAAACCAGCUUUGGACACUCCUAGAAAAAAAAAUAUCACACCUUCCUCAAUUGCUUCCAUACUGGCGUGAUGUAGAUCAUCUCUACCCUGAAGCUAGUCUCCUGGGCAUCCCCAUUGCUAAGAAGCAAUAAAAAGAACAUCCAAACCAGAAGUAUCUGGCAAAAAAAUGUAAAUCACAAUCAGAUGACAGCUGGACACUGCAAAUGGCCAUGGAUGCGGGUGGUUGUCAAGCACCCCAAAUGUGAUCACGUGACUGGUGGGGGGAGGACAUGGCCUCCAGAACUUUAAAUCCAAGUUGAAACAAUCUUUAAUGGUCAACACCUUGGUUGAGGAGAAAACCCUGAAAGCGGAGCUCUCACUCAGAGACCUUUUGUGGUCCACCGGCAGCCUGUGGAGUUGGCAGCAAAGUUGGACAGUGAGGAGGCUGGGGAGGAAUAUGGGCCAGUCCUGGAGUCUGGGGAAGGCUCGGACGAGGGCUCUGUGUCCGAGGCAGAGAGGAUGCCAGGGCCAUCAGGGAGUUAUAUACUGACUCUGGAGCCUCCAGAGUCUGAUGUCAGCGAGGCAGAGGAACAGGGGGAACCCGUUCCCAGUACGCGCAUUUGCAGAGCCAGAAGGUAAGAACAGUUAAGACAAAAGGGGUGACUCGGGAGUAAGGCUUGGAGAUGAUUGGCCCCUCCCACAAGACAUAAAUGAGGAGCAAAGGCACGUGAGCCUUUGCAGGAAGGAACUUUGUUCGUGCUGGUUGGUUUAAAUUCUGAAGCUCCGUUUUGACUCUGUGCUCCGUGUGGCUUUGCAAAGCUAAUUGCCAAUUAGGUCUUUGGCAGUGUGUCAAGGGAGAUAAAGGUGGGUGCUUAUCAGCCUUAUCUGAAGGACUGUGUCAGACUUCUGUUGUACUCUGUACAAACUAUUUGUGACUCAUCACGGGCUGGGAAUGAAUGGAAUUCACAGCUGUUGAAAUAAAAAGAGAGUUUUUGGGACUAAUUGUGUGCUUUUUACUGUCUCAGGAAGCCUAGGUCAGAACAAGACCAAAGAAAACAUUGGUUCAAAGGAAGCA